CGCCGUAAACGAUGAGUGUCAAAGGGUUGAAGAGGUUCGCGCCUAUAGUGCUGAAAGUUAAGCGCUUUAAGCUCUCCGCCUGGGAGAGUACGGCCGCAAAGGCUGAAAUCUCAAAGGAAUUGACGGGGGCCCGCACAAGCGGUGGAGCAUGGGUUUAAUUCGAAGCAACGCGAAAAACCUUACCAGGUCUUGACAUCCUCUGAAAACCCUAGAGAUAGGGUUCUCCUUCGGGAGCAGAGUGACAGGUGGUGCAUGGUUGUCGUCAGCUCGUGUCGUGAGAUGUUGGGUUAAGUCCCGCAACGAGCGCAACCCUUGAUCUUAGUUGCCAUCAUUAAGUUGGGCACUUUAAGGUGACUGCCGGUGACAAACCGGAGGAAGGUGGGGAUGACGUCAAAUCAUCAUGCCCCUUAUGACCUGGGCUACACACGUGCUACAAUGGACGGUACAAAGAGCUGCAAGACCGCGAGGUGGAGCCAUCUCAUAAAACCGUUCUCAGUUCGGAUUGUAGGCUGCAACUCGCCUACAUGAAGCUGGAAUCGCUAGUAUCGCGGAUCAGCAUGCCGCGGUGAAUACGUUCCCGG
rnacentral:rRNA from 1 species